GCAGCGCGCCGGAACUUAUACUAGUUAUUGUAAAUAUGGAGAAAUGUACGGGUAAUAAUGGGUGAAAGAAAAUGGAGACGUGGCCAAUCCACUUAACUAGAACCGUGUUACAGUGAUUGCAAAUUUGGUCUAAGAAUUUUCAGAACGUGGAUUUGGAGUUUCGUCACGGCAUUAGCCUUUUCUGCUUUCACGGGUGGCCCGUAGUUCUGCACCGUCGAUAUAGCAGAGGAAAACACCAUCAACGGCAAAGAAUGAAACACGAUAUACCCUUAAAGAAAUAGCGAAUGCAUGACAUCGCGGUUUGAGCAGGAUGAAAGUCGUUGGAUCUGAUCGCCCCGAGAGCGACAUCAAAAUGAAACAUGGAGGAGAACGCCCUCUCGUCCUCAUCCUGAAAGCAUGAGUAACCAUAAUAACGAUGCACUAAAGGACAAAAGGGGAACAAAAUGUCAAGAUGUUCAGGUGUGCGGACGAUCCUUCGCAGACUUGCACCAGAUAGGGAAUACUAGGCUGGCACUCUCCAACGCCUCUAACGUGUGGCAUUCACUCAUUGGACAUGGUGCUAUAGGGCUCGGGUGACAUUAUCUUAUUGGUCAUAGGCCUACCUUGUAUUUUAUGAAUAAUUGUUUCUCCACAUUUGUAAGGGGUAUAUGAUUUCGCUCAAGUCUGCCUCUAAGCAUAUCUAGUUUGCCUCUAAGUUCUCUGCUUUUGUAUCUCUAUUUAAUGUAGGAUGCGGCCAAAUUCUUUUCUUGUUUGCUCUAAUUACACGACUUGUGUAGUGAUUCAGAUUUACUUUUUUAA